rnacentral:misc_RNA from 1 species
UUUCCGUAGGUGAACCUGCGGAAGGAUCAUUACCGAGCGAGGGCCCUCUUCGUCCAACCUCGCACUCGUUUCUCUUUUACCUCGUUGCUUCUGCGGGCCCGCCUCACGGCUGCCGGGGGUCUUCUCCCCCCCGCGCCCUAGCCCCCCGAAGCCACCCGCGAUCACAGUCCUAAGCAUGGAGUCUCAUGGAAUUGAUAACUUUGUAAAAACUUUCAACACGGGAUCUCAUGCCUCUCGCCUCGAGGAAGAACACAGCAGAUCGUAUGCCGACACCUGUGU